AUUGAACGCUGGCGGCAGGCCUAACACAUGCAAGUCGAGCGAGCGGCGGACGGGUGAGUAAUGUCUGGGAAACUGCCUGAUGGAGGGGGAUAACUACUGGAAACGGUAGCUAAUACCGCAUCCCAUCGGAUGUGCCCCGAUGGGAUGAGCUAGUAGGUGGGGUAACGGCUCACCUAGGCGAAGAUCCCGAGCUGGUCUGGGAGGAUGAACAGCCACACUGGAACUGAGACACGGUCCAGACUCCUACGGGAGGCAGCAGUGGGGAAUAUUGCACAAUGGGCGCAAGCCUGAUGCAGCCAUGCCGCGUGUAUGAAGAAGGCCGUCGGGGUGUAAAGUACUUUCAGCGGGGAGGCGUUACCCGCAGAAGAAGCACCGGCUAACUCCGUGCCAGCGGCCGCGGUAAUUC
rnacentral:rRNA from 1 species